rnacentral:rRNA from 1 species
UACUGCAGUCGAGCGAAUGGAUUAAGAGCUUGCUCUUAUGAAGUUAGCGGCGGACGGGUGAGUAACACGUGGGUAACCUGCCCAUAAGACUGGGAUAACUCCGGGAAACCGGGGCUAAUACCGGAUAACAUUUUGAACCGCAUGGUUCGAAAUUGAAAGGCGGCUUCGGCUGUCACUUAUGGAUGGACCCGCGUCGCAUUAGCUAGUUGGUGAGGUAACGGCUCACCAAGGCAACGAUGCGUAGCCGACCUGAGAGGGUGAUCGGCCACACUGGGACUGAGACACGGCCCAGACUCCUACGGGAGGCAGCAGUAGGGAAUCUUCCGCAAUGGACGAAAGUCUGACGGAGCAACGCCGCGUGAGUGAUGAAGGCUUUCGGGUCGUAAAACUCUGUUGUUAGGGAAGAACAAGUGCUAGUUGAAUAAGCUGGCACCUUGACGGUACCUAACCAGAAAGCCACGGCUAACUACGUGCCAGCAGCCGCGGUAAUACGUAGGUGGCAAGCGUUAUCCGGAAUUAUUGGGCGUAAAGCGCGCGCAGGUGGUUUCUUAAGUCUGAUGUGAAAGCCCACGGCUCAACCGUGGAGGGUCAUUGGAAACUGGGAGACUUGAGUGCAGAAGAGGAAAGUGGAAUUCCAUGUGUAGCGGUGAAAUGCGUAAAGAUAUGGAGGAACACCAGUGGCGAAGGCGACUUUCUGGUCUGUAACUGACACUGAGGCGCGAAAGCGUGAGGAGCAAACAGGAUUAGAUACGCUGGUACUCCACUCCGUAAACGAUGAGUGCUAA